rnacentral:tRNA from 1 species
UAUUGAGUUCUGAAUUAAUUAUUUUCAGCCAUAAUCCUGUCACCUUAGGUCGAUCGGUACCUCAAAUCAAAAUUUUAAGAUUGAGAAAUCAUUCUUUAGUAGAUAUUUGGUUUUAGUUCCUAAACUUGUCUAGGUCACACCCAACAAACUUUCUCCUGGGCUAUUAGCUCAGGUGGUUAGAGCGCACCCCUGAUAAGGGUGAGGUCCCUGGUUCAAGUCCAGGAUGGCCCAUUCGUUGUUGGGGGUAUAGCUCAGUUGGUAGAGCGCCUGCUUUGCAAGCAGGAUGUCAGCGGUUCGAGUCCGCUUACCUCCACUGAUCAACUGCCUGAUAACUCAAUUUGGAGAUUGAUAUUUGUUUAAUGUGAUUUAGAUGUUGUUCAACUGAACGAACCUAGCUUCCUAUCAUUCCUUAAUCUAAUUGUUGAGGUUGAUAAGACGCUGGGCUCUCUGUAAUUCCUAAGAAUUCCAGUCCAGUUCAGUAGAACCUUGACAACUGCAUAGGUUAAGUCUGGAAAGAAUAAAGCAUCUUACAGAUGCAUAAUUCUAAAAGUCAGAAGUUUUCUUGUACUUAAUUAGAAUUUAUUGUUUAAUUCUUAAAUAAGAAGCCGGAGACUUCUAAAGAUUA